CCGCCCGUAGCUCAGCUGGAUAGAGUCGCUGACUUCGAAUCAGAAGGUCGCAGGUUCGAGUCCUGCCGGGCGGGCCA
rnacentral:tRNA from 1 species